AGAGUUUGAUCAUGGCUCAGAUUGAACGCUGGCGGCAGGCCUAACACAUGCAAGUCGAACGGUAACAUUUCUAGCUUGCUAGAAGAUGACGAGUGGCGGACGGGUGAGUAAUGCUUGGGAACUUGCCUUUGCGAGGGGGAUAACAGUUGGAAACGACUGCUAAUACCGCAUAAUGUCUACGGACCAAACGGGGCUUAGGCUCCGGCGCAAAGAGAGGCCCAAGUGAGAUUAGCUAGUUGGUAAGGUAAUGGCUUACCAAGGCAACGAUCUCUAGCUGUUCUGAGAGGAAGAUCAGCCACACUGGAACUGAGACACGGUCCAGACUCCUACGGGAGGCAGCAGUGGGGAAUAUUGCACAAUGGGGGAAACCCUGAUGCAGCCAUGCCGCGUGUGUGAAGAAGGCCUUCGGGUUGUAAAGCACUUUCAGUUGUGAGGAAAAGUUAGUAGUUAAUACCUGCUAGCCGUGACGUUAACAACAGAAGAAGCACCGGCUAACUCCGUGCCAGCAGCCGCGGUAAUACGGAGGGUGCGAGCGUUAAUCGGAAUUACUGGGCGUAAAGCGCACGCAGGCGGUUUGUUAAGCUAGAUGUGAAAGCCCCGGGCUCAACCUGGGAUGGUCAUUUAGAACUGGCAGACUAGAGUCUUGGAGAGGGGAGUGGAAUUCCAGGUGUAGCGGUGAAAUGCGUAGAUAUCUGGAGGAACAUCAGUGGCGAAGGCGACUCCCUGGCCAAAGACUGACGCUCAUGUGCG
rnacentral:rRNA from 1 species